rnacentral:rRNA from 1 species
AACGGCCAUACCAUGCUGAACAUACCGGUUCUCGUUAGAUCACCGAAGUCAAGCAUCAUUGGGCGCGGUCAGUACUUGGGUGGGUGACCACCUGGGAACACCGCGUGCCGUU